rnacentral:rRNA from 1 species
AUACGUAGGGGGCAAGCGUUGUCCGGAAUUACUGGGCGUAAAGCGCACGCAGGCUGACUUAUAAGUCGGUAGUCUAAUGCGGAGGCUCAACUUCCGUUUAUCUAUCGAUACUGUAAGACUAGAGUAUGUGAGAGGGCAGUGGAAUUCCUGGUUUAGCGGUGAAAUGCGUAGAGAUUGGGAGGAACACCAGUGGCGAAGGCGACUUACUGGACUGUAACUGACGCUGAGGCGCGAAAGUGUGGGGAGCAAACAGGAUUAGAUACCCUGGUAGUCCACACUGUAAACGAUGAAUGCUAGGUGUAGGGGGUAUCGACCCCUUCUGUGCCGCAGUCAACACAAUAAGCAUUCCGCCUGGGGAGUACGGCCGCAAGGUUGAAACUCAAAGGAAUUGACGGGG